UACGAAGGGGGCUAGCGUUGCUCGGAAUCACUGGGCGUAAAGGGUGCGUAGGCGGGUCUUUUAAGUCAGGGGUGAAAUCCUGGAGCUCAACUCCAGAACUGCCUUUGAUACUGAAGAUCUUGAGUUCGGGAGAGGUGAGUGGAACUGCGAGUGUAGAGGUGAAAUGCGCAGAUAUUCGCAAGAACACCAGUGGCGAAAGCGGCUCACUGGCCCGAUACUGACGCUGGAGGUGCGAAAGCGUGGGGAGCAAACAGG
rnacentral:rRNA from 1 species